rnacentral:rRNA from 1 species
UGAGUAACCUGCCCUUCACUCUGGGAUAACUCCGGGAAACCGGGGCUAAUACUGGAUACGACCUACUCGGGCAUCCGAUGUGGGUGGAAAGAUUUAUCGGUGAGGGAUGGACUCGCGGCCUAUCAGCUUGUUGGUGAGGUAAUGGCUCACCAAGGCGACGACGGGUAGCCGGCCUGAGAGGGCGAUCGGCCACACUGGGACUGAGACACGGCCCAGACUCCGUACGGGA